GGUGGGGCUGAUGGUAGUGGGUUAUACUGAUUAACAUUAGUGGCUGGUGGAAAGGUAUCUUGUGAUUGUUCAGUUAGAGAUGGAACUCCUUUUGUUCUACUCUUUCCCCUCUUCUCACUACUGCACUUGACCAGUCUUUA
rnacentral:Y_RNA from 1 species